rnacentral:rRNA from 1 species
AACAGGAUUAGAUACCCUGGUAGUCCACGCUGUAAACGAUGUCGACUUGGAGGUUGUGCCCUUGAGGCGUGGCUUCCGGAGCUAACGCGUUAAGUCGACCGCCUGGGGAGUACGGCCGCAAGGUUAAAACUCAAAUGAAUUGACGGGGGCCCGCACAAGCGGUGGAGCAUGUGGUUUAAUUCGAUGCAACGCGAAGAACCUUACCUACUCUUGACACCCAGAGAAUUUGCUAGAGAUAGCUUAGUGCCUUCGGGAACUCUGAGACGGGUGCUGCAUGGCUGUCGUCAGCUCGUGUUGUGAAAUGUUGGGUUAAGUCCCGCAACGAGCGCAACCCUUAUCCUUUGUUGCCAGCGAGUCAUGUCGGGAACUCAAAGGAGACUGCCGGUGAUAAACCGGAGGAAGGUGGGGAUGACGUCAAGUCAUCAUGGCCCUUACGAGUAGGGCUACACACGUGCUACAAUGGCAUAUACAAAGAGAAGCGAACUCGCGAGAGCAAGCGGACCUCAUAAAGUAUGUCGUAGUCCGGAUUGGAGUCUGCAACUCGACUCCAUGAAGUCGGAAUCGCUAGUAAUCGUAGAUCAGAAUGCUACGGCGAAUACGUUCCCGGGCCUUGUACACACCGCCCGUCACACCAUGGGAGUGGGUUGCAAAAGAAGUAGGUAGCUUAACCUUCGGGAGGGCGCUUACCACUUUGUGAUUCAUGACUGGGGUGAAGUCGUAACAAGGUAACC